GCCUUUCUAUCACUCACACUUGCCACAUUUCCAAGCCUGAACAUCUAUCAGGCAGAAUGAAUCAGAGUCAGAGAUGAGAGAGGAAGAGAGACCACGAGAGACAUCACCUCACGGUGGAGACCUGGACACAGUUGAACAUGAUGUACCACGCUGCCUUCCUGGGCAUAAAGUCCACUUGCAGUAGAACUUGCAAUGUGUUUACGAAAAUCUGUUUUUUCUUAGUGUACACAGCUAGACGACAGUUGAUGUUUGCUUCCUUCUUCUGGAGAGGUGUGUCAACUAAAAGAAAGACUAAGAUUCAUAUCAAAGGAGGUUGGAGGACUGCCUUGCUGGAGUGGAACUCAAUACCCAGUGUAUGGACAAAGGGAAUUCUUGUUGAUCUAGUAACAUCAAAAUGUUUAAGAGGCUGAUAGAAC
rnacentral:lncRNA from 1 species